rnacentral:rRNA from 1 species
UUUUAUGGAGAGUUUGAUCCUGGCUCAGAGUGAACGCUGGCGGCGUGCCUAAUACAUGCAAGUCGAACGAUGAAGCUUCUAGCUUGCUAGAGUGCUGAUUAGUGGCGCACGGGUGAGUAACGCAUAGGUUAUGUGCCUCUUAGUUUGGGAUAGCCAUUGGAAACGAUGAUUAAUACCAGAUACUCCCUACGGGGGAAAGAUUUAUCGCUAAGAGAUCAGCCUAUGUCCUAUCAGCUUGUUGGUAAGGUAAUGGCUUACCAAGGCUAUGACGGGUAUCCGGCCUGAGAGGGUGAACGGACACACUGGAACUGAGACACGGUCCAGACUCCUACGGGAGGCAGCAGUAGGGAAUAUUGCUCAAUGGGGGAAACCCUGAAGCAGCAACGCCGCGUGGAGGAUGAAGGUUUUAGGAUUGUAAACUCCUUUUGUUAGAGAAGAUAAUGACGGUAUCUAACGAAUAAGCACCGGCUAACUCCGUGCCAGCAGCCGCGGUAAUACGGAGGGUGCAAGCGUUACUCGGAAUCACUGGGCGUAAAGAGCGCGUAGGCGGGAUAGUCAGUCAGGUGUGAAAUCCUAUGGCUUAACCAUAGAACUGCAUUUGAAACUACUAUUCUAGAGUGUGGGAGAGGUAGGUGGAAUUCUUGGUGUAGGGGUAAAAUCCGUAGAGAUCAAGAGGAAUACUCAUUGCGAAGGCGACCUGCUGGAACAUUACUGACGCUGAUUGCGCGAAAGCGUGGGGAGCAAACAGGAUUAGAUACCCUGGUAGUCCACGCCCUAAACGAUGGAUGCUAGUUGUUGGAGGGCUUAGUCUCUCCAGUAAUGCAGCUAACGCAUUAAGCAUCCCGCCUGGGGAGUACGGUCGCAAGAUUAAAACUCAAAGGAAUAGACGGGGACCCGCACAAGCGGUGGAGCAUGUGGUUUAAUUCGAAGAUACACGAAGAACCUUACCUAGGCUUGACAUUGAGAGAAUCCGCUAGAAAUAGUGGAGUGUCUGGCUUGCCAGACCUUGAAAACAGGUGCUGCACGGCUGUCGUCAGCUCGUGUCGUGAGAUGUUGGGUUAAGUCCCGCAACGAGCGCAACCCCCUUUCUUAGUUGCUAACAGGUCAUGCUGAGAACUCUAAGGAUACUGCCUCCGUAAGGAGGAGGAAGGUGGGGACGACGUCAAGUCAUCAUGGCCCUUACGCCUAGGGCUACACACGUGCUACAAUGGGGUGCACAAAGAGAAGCAAUACUGCGAAGUGGAGCCAAUCUUCAAAACAUCUCUCAGUUCGGAUUGUAGGCUGCAACUCGCCUGCAUGAAGCUGGAAUCGCUAGUAAUCGCAAAUCAGCCAUGUUGCGGUGAAUACGUUCCCGGGUCUUGUACUCACCGCCCGUCACACCAUGGGAGUUGUGUUUGCCUUAAGUCAGGAUGCUAAAUUGGCUACUGCCCACGGCACACACAGCGACUGGGGUGAAGUCGUAACAAGGUAACCGUAGGUGAACCUGCGGUUGGAUCACCUCCUUUCUAGA